AUGCCGGACUCCAUCCAUCAGUGCUAUUUGUCUUCCUAUGGGUCACACAGCAGAAUUUUAGGUAGGUCAGGUUGCAUGAGAAAGCACCAGGCACGGUCCCUUGCAACCCCCCUGCUCAGGGCUCUGGGUUCCAAGCAUAUCACUGACUGGCUUGGAAAGUCUUUCAUCUCUGCAACAGCAGCAGCAGCAACAGCUCUUGGAUUAACUGUGUCUCCUGACUUUUGCGCCUCCAGCCAUCACCACGCUGCAGAUCCCUGGAUGCCUGCUGGCUCCUAUCGAGGGGUACCCCCUUUCCCUCGCCUUCUUCCCUCCUCCUGCUGCCUCCCCCGUGCCUUAAGCCUGGGGGACGAGGGAUCACAAUGAACCUUAGAUUUUCCCAAGAGUUUUUUUUCUCCAGGCUCUCUGUGUACCCUCUCCCCGCACCCCACAUCUUGUAUUUUCCUUCACCUACCCUCUCCCUCACUUUAGGUCUAUAUAUACCCACAGGCCUCUCCCCUCCCCUUCCAUCACCAGGCCAGUGAGUCAGCUCACCCAAGAGGCAAGUGCCAGCGCAGUGGGACAGCUGCCCACUGGGCCCAGAAGAGAAAGGCUUCAGGGGCAGCAGGCCUCGUGCAAAUAGUGCUUUUGACAACUCCAGGCAUCGAGUUUCACGAGUAAGCCAAAUGUAGAAAGGAUUAGCUGUUUCGCCCAAUAAGCCCACAUCUGUAGUUACAUUCUAACAGGGAUAAAAUUACCCUGGUUAUUAAUCCUUCUGCUUUAGGGAAUAAGCUGAUCACCAGGCAGGGUCAGGAACAAAACCCUGCCUCCGCUCCUGCCAGCCUCCCCUCACCCCCAUCCUUACCUGCUCCACCUCUUACGGUGUAUGGUUUCCCAUUUCAGUCUGGACACCAAGUUCAAGGCCACCACCUGAGGUGCCUCUGAGAUGGGACAGCUGCCAUCUGUGGUAGGGGGGACAUCCAUUCAGUCACUUAAGUAUGCAUGCAGAAUCUACUGGGAGCAAGACGUCAUGGGUCUCCACUGCGGCAGAACCAAAGAUGAUUCUUGCACCGCCCCUGUCUUUUUCAAGCCCAGAAAAAGCUGAAGUGGUUGGUCAGAAACUGUAUGUGGUUUCUGGGACUUCCUGCCCUGAGGCGCCCCAGGUGUAUCCGAUGGCCUCGGGGACCGCAGUUGGGGUGUGGGCAGUAUUUCCUAGCCUGCUGCCAGGGAGCAAUGGAGCCAUUUCCUCAAGCAUCCAUGGGUGUGACCUCUCCCUCCAGGACCAGCAGGAGAGGCGAGCUGUGUUUCCUUCUCUGGUCUGUUCUAUUUAUUUAUUUAUUUAGUCUUUUUACCUUUUCUAGGGCUGCUUCCCGCGGUAUAUGGAGGUUCCCAGGCUAGGGGUCUAAUUGGAGCUGAAGCCACUGGCUUACGCCAGAGCCACAGCAACACGGGAUCCGAGUCGCAUCUGCAACCUACACCACAGGUCACAGCAGCACCGGAUCCUUAACCCACUGAGCAAGGCCAGGGAUUGAACCCAAAACCUCAUGGUUCCUAGUUGGAUUUGUUAAACAACCCUGGUCAGUUCUCUUUAGAUCUCAUAUCUGCAGGCACUAGACACUUCCAGAUUUUCCCUGGGUGGGACUGACAGGAGAGAAGUAGGUUGAGAGCCAGGGUGAUCAACAGGCCUGAAACUGCAACACACAAAAAAGUGACAUCCCUAAGGGGCCAUGUUCCCCAGUCACUUCAGCCCUUGACCAAGUACCUGCUGACUGACCAAGUGACCCAGCACUCAAACUGGGACCUCUGAAUAAUGAAGAGGUGUCAUCCAUGAAAAGACAGGUGCUGGGCAUUGCUGAUGAUUAGAGAAAUGCAAAUCAAAACUAUAAUCAGAUACCACCUCACACUGAUCAAAAUGGCCAUAAUUAAAAUAAAAAGUCUACAGGGGUUCUCUUGUGGCA
ensembl:lncRNA